GGCUGAGUAAGUCAAUGGUAGAGCACUUGCCUAGCAUGCACAAAGUCCUGGGUUCAAGUCCCAGCACCACAA
rnacentral:tRNA from 1 species